AGUGAACGCUGGCGGUAGGCCUAACACAUGCAAGUCGAACGGCAGCACAGUAAGAGCUUGCUCUUACGGGUGGCGAGUGGCGGACGGGUGAGGAAUACAUCGGAAUCUACUUUUUCGUGGGGGAUAACGUAGGGAAACUUACGCUAAUACCGCAUAAGACCUACGGGUGAAAGCAGGGGAUCUUCGGACCUUGCGCGAUUGAAUGAGCCGAUGUCGGAUUAGCUAGUUGGCGGGGUAAAGGCGCACCAAGGCGACGAUCCGUAGCUGGUCUGAGAGGAUGAUCAGCCACACUGGAACUGAGACACGGUCCAGACUCCUACGGGAGGCAGCAGUGGGGAAUAUUGGACAAUGGGCGCAAGCCUGAUCCAGCCAUACCGCGUGGGUGAAGAAGGCCUUCGGGUUGUAAAGCCCUUUUGUUGGGAAAGAAAAGCAGCAGGUUAAUACCCCGCUGUUCUGACGGUACCCAAAGAAUAAGCACCGGCUAACUUCGUG
rnacentral:rRNA from 1 species